UGGGGAAUAUUGGACAAUGGGCGCAAGCCUGAUCCAGCCAUGCCGCGUGAGUGAUGAAGGCCUUCGGGUCGUAAAGCUCUGUGGGGAGGGACGAAGAGCCUCCUGGUUAAUACCCAGGGGGUCUGACGGUACUUCCUUAGCAAGCACCGGCUAACUCCGUGCCAGCAGCCGCGGUAAUACGGAGGGUGCAAACGUUGCUCGGAAUCAUUGGGCGUAAAGCGCACGUAGGCGGUCUGAUAAGUCGGAUGUGAAAGCCUGGGGCUCAACCCCAGAAGUGCAUUCGAAACUGCCAGGCUUGAGUACGGAAGAGGGUCUCGGAAUUCCCGGUGUAGAGGUGAAAUUCGUAGAUAUCGGGAGGAACACCAGUGGCGAAGGCGGAGACCUGGGCCGAUACUGACGCUGAGGUGCGAAAGCGUGGGGAGCAAACAGGAUUAGAUACCCCCGUAGUCC
rnacentral:rRNA from 1 species